CAUUUCACUUCUCUUUACUUUCUUUCAAAGGUCUCCCCUGCGCCGCUUCUCUCCUCCUUCGUCCCGUCUUCUCUUUUCAUCAUUCUGGCCAGGUAACCACCGAGGCCACCAUGGCCUUCCUCCCCUACCGACCGCCGCCCAAAUCGAUCAUCUAAGCCCAAAAGCGAACCUAAACUUACCCGAACCUCAACCUUCUAUAAUUUUAUCUGUUUCUCCAACUCUCUCUUCACUCUUCUUCACGGCCGCCCGACAAAAGUAGCCACCGCGCCUACCACCCCAAAUCAAACCCGAUAAGGGGUUAAAUAAACCCCCUAAUCAAACUUUCAUUGAAAAGCGCCAAACCUAGCUAUAGUUCCCUCAACCAAUCUUCUCAAAAGCUACCCGAAACCCACUGUUUGGGAUUUAACCACCUGACCACUCCGGCCAUGGGAGCUCGCAACACUAAGGAUUCGAAAAACUUACAGCACUCUUACCAACCUUCGGCGACGAUCCAAACUCAGCAAGUUUUCGGUGGUUAGCAGGUUGAGACGAUGGUCCGGACAAAACGAGCAUCUACGAUCAGUUUAGUUGAUAAAAAAAAGUCAACUCCGAGCUCAAGUUCCAAAAUCUGCAUUUUCUACGUAACCACUAUGCUCAAAGUCUGGAAACUCUUUUUCUACAAUGAACAAAGAAGUUAUAAAUUUAAUACUAUUUUGCAACAAUACUAAAUA